UGCAAGUCGAGCGAAUGGAUUAAGAGCUUGCUCUUAUGAAGUUAGCGGCGGACGGGUGAGUAACACGUGGGUAACCUGCCCAUAAGACUGGGAUAACUCCGGGAAACCGGGGCUAAUACCGGAUAACAUUUUGAACUGCAUGGUUCGAAAUUGAAAGGCGGCUUCGGCUGUCACUUAUGGAUGGACCCGCGUCGCAUUAGCUAGUUGGUGAGGUAACGGCUCACCAAGGCAACGAUGCGUAGCCGACCUGAGAGGGUGAUCGGCCACACUGGGACUGAGACACGGCCCAGACUCCUACGGGAGGCAGCAGUAGGGAAUCUUCCGCAAUGGACGAAAGUCUGACGGAGCAACGCCGCGUGAGUGAUGAAGGCUUUCGGGUCGUAAAACUCUGUUGUUAGGGAAGAACAAGUGCUAGUUGAAUAAGCUGGCACCUUGACGGUACCUAACCAGAAAGCCACGGCUAACUACGUGCCAGCAGCCGCGGUAAUACGUAGGUGGCAAGCGUUAUCCGGAAUUAUUGGGCGUAAAGCGCGCGCAGGUGGUUUCUUAAGUCUGAUGUGAAAGCCCACGGCUCAACCGUGGAGGGUCAUUGGAAACUGGGAGACUUGAGUGCAGAAGAGGAAAGUGGAAUUCCAUGUGUAGCGGUGAAAUGCGUAGAGAUAUGGAGGAACACCA
rnacentral:rRNA from 1 species